UGGGGAAUAUUGGACAAUGGGCGCAAGCCUGAUCCAGCCAUGCCGCGUGAGUGAUGAAGGCCUUAGGGUUGUAAAGCUCUUUCAGUGGGGAAGAUAAUGACGGUACCCACAGAAGAAGCCCCGGCUAACUUCGUGCAAGCAGCCGCGGUAAUACGAAGGGGGCUAGCGUUGUUCGGAUUUACUGGGCGUAAAGCGCACGUAGGCGGAUUGGUCAGUUAGGGGUGAAAUCCCAGAGCUCAACUCUGGAACUGCCUUUAAUACUGCCAGUCUCGAGUCCGGAAGAGGUAAGUGGAACUCCUAGUGUAGAGGUGGAAUUCGUAGAUAUUAGGAAGAACACCAGUGGCGAAGGCGGCUUACUGGUCCGGUACUGACGCUGAGGUGCGAAAGCGUGGGGAGCAAAC
rnacentral:rRNA from 1 species